ensembl:lincRNA Gm30340 predicted gene, 30340
GAGCGGAUGGAAGACACCAGGAGAACAAGGCCUUCUACAUCAACUUGAGCACAGUUCAUAUGAACCCAGAGACUGAAAGAGCAAGCACAGGGUCUGCGAAGGUCCACUAUGAUUGAGAAAAAAUUAACCAGACUGUAUGGCCUGAAUGUGGCUUUGAUGUCCUCAUUCUUCCUUUCUGAAGAGAAAGGCAUUUGUACCACAGGAACCUGACAGCAAUUGUUCUGAUUCAUGGCUUAGGAGGAGCAGCUGAUUAAUCCCUUGUCAGCAGUCUUGACCCGGUGUGGAAAAUAGAAUCUUCGAAGGCCUACUCACCAAUAUAUCAGGAGCAAGGCAGCAUGGCUUACAUCGCUCUUAAAUUCAAGGAAAGUUUAAGACAAUGCCAAGCAGCAAUCCUGAUCUCAGAAAUGCUUUAUAGGAACAUUUGGACACAGAACAGGAACAUACCAGGGAGAAGAGUUGAACAAUUGUGGCUUUCUUCCCUGGAAUAAAAAUCUUAUAUUUUCGGUCCUCCACAAAAUACUUUAAAAAAAAUCACUAUUUUCUUUAUCAUAACUAUUGUGGUCUGUGUUUUGAUAUGAUAUAACAUGUUUUGGGAAUUUUAAAUCAUUCCAUUUCCUUCCCUCUUCAAUGAGUAUAGACACUAUGAACAUAGAACUCUAAUUUGUACAUUGUAUAAAAUAAUUGCAAAUAACUUCUAUUUCUAGAAUCAUCUUUAUGUGACACAUUCAGCUGUGAAGAAUAUGCAUACUAUAUAGUUUAAAACAGGAAUGUUUCUACUGAAAACCAUUUUAGUUCUUGAAAUAACAAAAGCCUUAAACUGAACACAUUGCUACUUUUAAUCAAGAAAAAAUAACUUAGUAAUGUAAAAUGUGGUCUCGGUAUAUAUGAUUAAAGUACAGAGAUGAAGUGGGAUAAUGUCCCCCCCUUUUUUUCCAAAGAGGACCAUGUACAUGAAUCCAAUAUUUAUGAAUUUUAUUUACAACCACAAAGCAGACUGAAAAUCUGUCAAAUGAUGUGAAAUCCUAAAAGAUGCAGGGUGUUAAGAGAUGGUGGCCACCAAAGACAAAUCAAGUCUCAAAAUUAAAACUAUGCACAACUAAUAAGCAUACACAUGAAAGAUGAGAGAGAGAGAGAGAGAGAGAGAGAAUGUGAGAGACCCAUCUAUGAUAACCAGAGGAAGCUGAAAUGUGUUGAAACCUUUCCCUUGUAAACUGCAUAAUAGCACUUUCAAUGUUCCCUUUCUGUCAUCCCCUGUAACCAUCAAGUUCGGGUUCUGCUGCUGCAGUCAGGUGCACGGGCACGGAGCUCUUACGGUUGGCUGCAUAGAAUUCUGAGGAAAGCCACAUCUGUACCAUUUUUUUUCUCUUGGACAGUAAUAAAUAACAAUUUGUGUUCAUUUAGAUUUUUUUCCCUGAGUAUAUUUACAGCAAGUUAUUCAGUUUUUUUUUCUUAUCCUCUUAAAGCAUAGGUUUAAUUUUGAGUGCAUCUUUCAUUGUGAGAGUGUAAACCUUUGAUCGAGUGGCAUUUGCAUUUCAUUAUAGGGAAGUGCUUUACAUUGUCUUCAUAUGCACCACCCAAUUCCAUGUAUCAUCUUGGUUUGUGCUAGUCACUGUUUAAAACACUGGCUAUUAAGUGUGGCUUUGUGGACAGAAUCUGUAUGUUCUGUGCAGUACAAAACAGAAAAGAACAAGGAAAAAUUCAAAAUGAAUAGUUCAUUUGAAAGAAAUAUAGUAAGUUUUCAUGUGAUUGUUUUCAAUAUAGUAUUCUCGGCGAAAGAAUGCAAGUCAUCAUCUAAAACGUAACAUGUUCAGAUUGGCCGUAUCUCAUCAUUUAUUUCUUUUGUAAAAGAGCAAAUGGGAUGUAUUUUUAGGUGUUUCUUUGUGCAAGUUCCUAGCAAAUCCUGUUGGGAUAGCAUUAGAAAUAAUAAUGAAAUGAGCUGUAGGUAAUGGUAUAACUCUCGGAAAGUUUUUAAAUGUGAGGCUGUGAAAAUGUGUCCUUUGAAGGAUCAGCAAGCCUGUGGCAUUGUCUGUGAAAAUGGAAAGAAUUGAUAAGGCUUCUGUGCUUUUGAUCUUUAUCAGGUUUGCAAUGAUUCCUAUUUUAUAAGGUGACAUAUUUUUAGCCUUGUUGCAGAGAGAAAUGCUCUGUUUUCCCUCAGAAAGCUGGCAGAAAACCAUUUUCCG